rnacentral:rRNA from 1 species
AACGAACGCUGGCGGCGUGCUUAACACAUGCAAGUCGAACGUGAAAGACUUCGGUCGAGUAAAGUGGCGAACGGGUGAGUAACGCGUGGGUAAUCUGCCCUCGGGGCGGGGGAUAACCUCUCGAAAGGGGGGCGUAAUACCGCAUGAGACCACGGCUUCUUGGAGCUGUGGGAAGAGGUGGGUCGCAAGACCAGCCACCUGAGGAUGAGCCCGCGUACCAUUAGGUAGUUGGUGGGGUAAUGGCCUACCAAGCCUGAGAUGGUUAGCUGGUCUGAGAGGACGAUCAGCCACACUGGGACUGAGACACGGCCCAGACUCCUACGGGAGGCAGCAGUGGGGAAUAUUGCGCAAUGGGGGGAAACCCUGACGCAGCAACGCCGCGUGUGUGAAGAAGGCCUUC